rnacentral:rRNA from 1 species
CCGCUCAGAGGUAAACGGGUGGAGUUGAACUGCGAACCCUGAGAAUUCAACUGGUGAGUGUGGUAUGAGCUUGGCAUGAAGGUUGGCUCUGCGGGUCUGCUUAGCUGCAGGUCUUCGCCUUUUGGUGGAGAUGCGCGAUACACUUGUCAAGUGGUGCGCGCUCGUUGAGUUUCUCGGACAUACUUGCCAGUGCACUUUCUCGGGGUGUUCACCACGACCGGCGCCGCUACUUGUCCAAUAUGGUUAAACCGGUCUUGCUUGGUCCCUGUGGCUUUGCUUGAUCGGGAUGGCAGGUAACUCGUUGACUUGUGUGUUGACCUCGGUUGGCAUGCGCUUGGUUUUCGAGUGUAAUCAGCUGACUGUAUUGGUGCUAUGUGGUGCGUCGGAGACGGCGGCUUGUGGUGUGUGCCUGCGUGCCUAUUUGCUGACGGAACCGGGUUUGGUUAUUAUGUUGCCUGUUUUGCAGGCCUGGUGAUGGCUCGGUUUCGCUUGGUGGAUGGGAGCGUGGGUGACACUUAUCAGGGCCUAUAGUCUGUGGUGUUGUGGUAGACUAUCCACCUGACCCGUCUUGAAACACGGACCAAGGAGAGUAACAUGUGCGCGAGUCAUGGGGUGUUACGAAACCCAAAGGCGAAGUGAAAGUAAAGACUUGACUUGUUCGAGUUGAGGUGAGAUCCUGUCGUUUCUCAUGCGCGGUACUUCCAAGCAUUCGAGCGAUGGGCGCAUCACCGGCCCGUCCCAUGGUGUGGUCACUGUCUUCGGAUUGGUGCGUCACCGGGGCGGAGCAUGAGCGCACAUGUUGAGACCCGAAAGAUGGUGAACUAUGCUUGCGCAGGUUGAAGCCAGAGGAAACUCUGGUGGAGGACCGUAGCGAUUCUGACGUGCAAAUCGAUCGUCAAACGUGAGUAUAGGGGCGAAAGACUAAUCG